rnacentral:rRNA from 1 species
GACGAAGGUGGCGAGCGUUGUUCGGAAUCACUGGGCAUAAAGCGCACGUAGGCGGCGAUGUAAGUCGGGUGUGAAAUCCCUCGGCCUAACCGAGGAACUGCGCCCGAUACUGCGUUGCUUGAGGGUCAAAGGGGUGCAUGGAAUUCCCGGUGGAGCGGUGAAAUGCGUUGAUAUCGGGAGGAACGCCGGCGGCGAAAGCGGUGCACUGGUUGACUUCUGACGCUGAUGUGCGAAAGCCAGGGGAGCAAACGGG